rnacentral:rRNA from 1 species
GACGAACUGUCCUAACGUUGUUCGGAAUCACUGGGCUUAAAGGGCGCGUAGGCGGUCCGACAAGUCAGGGGUGAAAUCCUGCAGCUUAACUGUAGAAGUGCCUCUGAUACUGUCGGUCUUGAGGGAGAUAGGGGUGUGCGGAACUUCCAGUGGAGCGGUGAAAUGCGUUGAUAUUGGAAGGAACGCCGGAGGCGAAAGCGGCGCACUGGAUCUCUUCUGACGCUGAGGCGCGAAAGCUAGGGGAGCAAACGGG